GUAGGUCAGAGCUAGUCUAGGUGCACCAGUCACAGGACACUGAGACUCAGGGUGGCAGAUGUCAAGUCCUUCAUUGUUCAGUUUAAGCUCAGAGAAAGUCGUUUGGGAAUUUAUGUCUCUGUGGUGUGGCACUGAACCAAUGGCUGAGAGGCAUAGGAGUAUAAACACUUCCGUUCCCUUGUGCCUGAUGAAGAUGGCUUCGAGCAAAGCAGUUGCUGCUACAGAUUGAAUGCAUCUGGGCCAUCCGUGGGUUACUGGCUUAAGGAUUUUUGAUAGGAAGACUACGGGUUGUCAGUGGCCUCCAUGCUUUUGGGUAAGUACUUCUAGGGCUACGCCCUUGUUUACAGUGGCAAAAAGAUGGAAAGGCUGCUUAAGGAGGGUAAAGCUAGGACGGGGGCAGUUACUAAUAGAUGUUUUAAUCUUCCCACCUAUUGGAUUUCUGGUAAUUGCCCAAUGAGGCGGUUUAGCCCGUCUUUCAUGAGCUUUUUGUAUAAGCGUUUUGUUUUUAAGGCAUAAGAGUCUAUCCAUAGAUGACAGUAACUGACUCAUUCUAACAUUUUCUAAGUUCUUGUUUAGUCUCCGGCAGAGGCAAGGAUAUGAUGCCUUCAAUCCAUUCAAACUCAGUUUUCCAUUUGCCUUUGUUAAUUAAAUGACUUGUUCAAAUAUUUGACUAAAUAAAUUUGGAGACUCCAUAAACCCUUGGGAUAAGACUGUCUAUCAGUAUUGCUAUUUUUGACCAGAGUGAGGGUCUUCUCACUGAAAGGCAAAUAGGUCCCGGCUGUCCUCUGCUAAUGGACAAGCCCAGAAGGCAUCUUUUAAAUUUAUUACUGUAAACCAGUGGUGACAGCUUGGGAUCCUACUGAUAAUAGUAUAAGGAUUGGGAACAACAGGGUGUGUAGUUUGGAUUAUUUGAUUAAUAGCUGUAAGGUCUUGUACUGACCAGUAUGACCCAUCUGGCUUCUUUACAGGCAGUAUUGGAGUGUUAUAGGGAGACAUACAGGGUUUCAGAAGCCCAUCACAGAGAAGACCUUCAAUUAUCAAUUAUAUGUUUUAAAUUUACCCUGGCUUUUAAAGGAAUAGGGUACACUGCUUUCGCUUUACUACUUCCCCAGGGGUUUUUAAUUUAACAUGAAUCAGAGGAAUCUGUAACUUUCCUUGAUUCCCAUCUAUUGACCAUACCUUGGGAUAAAUGUGUUCUUCGUCUGCGGUGGUGAGCAAGUUUAGGGAGGGGAGGAAUUUUCCAUGAUUGAUUUGUAGGCCUAAGCCUAAUUCUAGCAUUAAAUCUCUUCCUAAAAGAUUUUUCUCUGCUUCCAGAAUUAACAGGCAUCUAAUAUUAGCUGAUUUGCUUUUAUAUAUGACUUUUGUUCUUUUUCCCAUUUGGGACAUUCUCUUUUGAAGUGACCUAUUUUUAAUUUGAAACAUUUGUUUUGUCUUCUUUCUCUCCCUUUGCUCCUCCCUCUCUCUUUGCCUCUUUUUUCUCCUCCUCUCUCUCUCUGCCUCUCUGUCUCUCUUUCUCUCUCUCUUACUGUCUCUCUCUCUCCCUGACUCCCUCUGUUCCCUCUGUCAGUCCUUUUCUCUCUAAGAUUUUUUUUUUCCACCUUUGAGUCUCCUGGCUUUACUCUCUUGUACCCUUUAUGUUGCCUGGAGGAUGGAGGUCUAGGUUCUUUAUAGGUUCUGGCCCCCUGGAUACUUUGUUAUACGGUUGAAAGCAGAAUUUUUGCCUUCUGCUUUCAUUUUUCUUUAUCUUUUCUUACAUAUACUUUUUGGGCUUCUCUUAGAAGCUCUUCUAUAGGUUUAUCUUUCUAGUUCUCUAUCUUUUGUAAUUUCUUGUUAAUGUCUGGCCAACUGUUAGUGACAAAAUGAAGUCUUAACAUUCCCUGCCCAAGAGGAUCCUCAAGACCUAGACCAGCAUAUUUUCUCAUUUGUUCCUUUAAUUUGUCUAAAAAUUCUAUAGGCCCUUCAUCUUCCCCUUGCUGUACGUCAAAUGUUUGGGUAAGAUUCUGGGUUCGGGGUACUGAUUCUUUAAUGCCCUUUAUUAUCAAUUCCCUAAGGUCUUGCAUAUUUUCUUGGUUGGCUGCAUUGUUAUUGUCCCACCGGGGCUCUUGGGUGGGAAAUUUUUGAUCUGCUGUAGGAAUAUUUUGGCUGGGAGGGUAUUCACAUACCUGACCUCCCAUUGCAGCUCUAUGGAUUAUGCCUCUUUCUUCUCCCAAGAAGAGGGGAAAGGAAAGCUCUGACCAUCCUUUUUACAUUGCUCUGUCUCACAUUGAAGUCCUUUUAGGAAUGGGAACUCAAGCUGGUAGUAAGUGGGCCUUUGGGAUGAUUCCCAAGAGGCAGGGUUAUAAGGAGGGGGACAACAGGGAUAGGAGAAUGUUCUGAAACAGCAGUUGCUUUUUCUUGUUUUUGGUUUUAUCCUUCUAAUAUUUUAAUAUUAGGCCUAGGGGAUUAUUAGGGGGAGUAUUAUUGUUGCUAGCUUUAUCCUUUUUAUCUCUUACCUUACUUGGGGUAUUUCACACCUUGAUGGUUUUGGGGUGAGGCUCAAUUUCCCUUACUGGAAAUUUCUUGCCUUUUGGGGUGAGGCUCAAUUUCUCCUACUGGAAAUUUCUCCCCUUUUGGGGUGAGGCUCAAUCCCCCCAGUGGAGAUUCCUCACUUCUUUUUAACCUCCAGGACACCCUGAGCAAGGAGUACUUCACCACCCCUGCAACUUUUCCUGCCUUGGUAUGUCCCGACCAAGGAAUACUUCACUGCCUCUGCGGCUUUUCUUACCUUGGCCCUGACCACCAAGAAAAUACUUUGCCGCUUUUGCGAUGUUUCUUACCUGGGUCUGUGCACAGAGUUACCUGGUCGCCGUGGUAUGUAAGAAUCCUUUCCCCAAGCUGCCAGCCUGUUUCUUCCUGCAUCGCUGAGAGUCCAGGUUUAUUCAUCACACCAGGUGGGUCUUGAUUCCUUACCCCUGAGGCCGCCACAACAAGGCAGUGGGGCACGCCUUCUCAUGGGAGAGGCAGAAGACCCUUUCCCAGAGGAGAAUGGGAAUCCUAGAUGAACCCCCAAAUUUGUUGGAAAUAAAUUUUCAGUGCUGCAAAAGAAAUAGCACUCUAAUAUGAAUUUUCUCAGCAAAGAAAUUUUACUUCUAAAGAAGGGUGCGUCUCACAGAUGGAGCAAUGGCGAGAGCACACCUAAACAAGGGGGAGGGGAAGGGGUUCUUAUCCCUGACACAGGUAGCCCCUACUGCUGUGUUGUUUCCCUAUUGGCUAGGUUUGGACCACACAGUCUAAGCUAAUUCCGAUUGGCUAUUUUAAAGAAAGCGGGAGUAUGAGCCAGAGUGGCAGGGUGAGUAGUUUGGCAGGAAGGAUGGUUACAGAGCAGGUGAUUCAGGAUGACUAAGAACAGAGUAGGUGACCAAGGGUGACUAAGAUCAGAGCAGGUGAUAGAGGCUAGGAGGGGGUUGUUCACUGAAACUGGGGGCAAGGAGACGUAAAGAACGAGGAAGUCAAACUUUAAAAUGAAGAACAAAGAACAGAGGAGCUGAACAUACUGAUACAUUGAUUUCUUGGAGAGGAUCUCAGAACUCAUUAUACUUAACAAUUUACAGGCUAAAACCUUUGAAGAGGAAUUUAUUACGUCUUACAGGAAUUUGUCACCAGUAGCCUAAAUAACUGCUUUGCACCCCAUUGCCAUCUUAUUAGUAGAGAAGCAUCUUAGGGGAUCCCAUGGAAAAUUUUGCUCAGGGUUCCUGAGGCCUCUUGUGGUGCUAAACUCUAUGGGAUAAAUAUUUAAAGAGCACAUUGCAACUUUCUUCCUCAUGCAGCCAGUCCAACAAGGAUCUAUGUGCCUGGGCUGGGCUGGGUGAGGCAUUUAUAGGCAGGCAUAUCAGAUUCACACACCCUAAGGAUUUCACAUUUCAUCUAGUCCGGUGCCUCUACACUGGCAAAGAAAACUGGUGUUCUAUGAGUUAAACCAAAGUGCCCAUCAUUACAAGUGAACAGUGACAGUUUUAAUUUAUAGGGAAAAAAUGGAUACGUACUCUCAAUGUCAAGCUCUUUCCUUUAAACUUUUCUGAAUUAUUUAAUUCCUGCAACAUUACCCUUUAUUAUUAAUUCAUCUUUAUGCUCAUUUAUUAAACAAAUGUGUUUGAUAAGUCUACUAUGAACAUGUGCCAGGUUUUGUGUUAAGGGCCUAAAAUAUUACUAUACAAAAACAAGACAUCUUCUGCUCUCAUGAGAUCUCUACAUCUAAUGAUGUAGACACUAAUCAAGUUGUUACACCUGUGGAGUCAGGCUGUUCAGAUCCCAGCAUCUCCACUUACUAGCUGAAUCACCUUCUUAAAACUGCAUAAUC